rnacentral:rRNA from 1 species
AAUAGAUACCCCGGUAGUCCACGCCCUAAACGAUGUCUACUAGUUGUCGGGGGGGUAACUCCUUCGGUAACGCAGCUAACGCGUGAAGUAGACCGCCUGGGGAGUACGGUCGCAAGAUUAAAACUCAAAGGAAUUGACGGGGACCCGCACAAGCGGUGGAUGAUGUGGAUUAAUUCGAUGCAACGCGAAAAACCUUACCUACCCUUGACAUGCCACUAACGAAGCAGAGAUGCAUUAGGUGCCCGAAAGGGAAAGUGGACACAGGUGCUGCAUGGCUGUCGUCAGCUCGUGUCGUGAGAUGUUGGGUUAAGUCCCGCAACGAGCGCAACCCUUGCCAAUAGUUGCUACGAAAGGGCACUCUAUUGGGACUGCCGGUGACAAACCGGAGGAAGGUGGGGAUGACGUCAAGUCCUCAUGGCCCUUAUGGGUAGGGCUUCACACGUCAUACAAUGGCUGGUACAGAGGGUUGCCAACCCGGCGGAGGGGGGAGCCAAUCCCAACAAAAUCAGUCGUAGUCCGGAUUGCAGUCUGCAACUCGA